rnacentral:rRNA from 1 species
GAUGAACGCUGGCGGCGUGCCUAAUACAUGCAAGUAGAACGCUGAAGGAGGAGCUUGCUCUUCUGGAUGAGUUGCGAACGGGUGAGUAACGCGUAGGUAACCUGCCUGGUAGCGGGGGAUAACUAUUGGAAACGAUAGCUAAUACCGCAUAAGAGUAGAUGUUGCAUGACAUUUACUUAAAAGGUGCAAUUGCAUCACUACCAGAUGGACCUGCGUUGUAUUAGCUAGUUGGUGGGGUAACGGCUUACCAAGGCGACGAUACAUAGCCGACCUGAGAGGGUGAUCGGCCACACUGGGACUGAGACACGGCCCAGACUCCUACGGGAGGCAGCAGUAGGGAAUCUUCGGCAAUGGACGGAAGUCUGACCGAGCAACGCCGCGUGAGUGAAGAAGGUUGUCGGAUCGUAAAGCUCUGUUGUAAGAGAAGAACGAGUGUGAGAGUGGAAAGUUCACACUGUGACGGUAUCUUACCAGAAAGGGACGGCUAACUACGUG